rnacentral:lncRNA from 1 species
CGGCUUGGCAUGAGCCAAGAAGGUGGUGUGUCAAGGGCCAUUGCUUGUGCUGCUCGGCUUGAUUAAAGCCAAGGAUUGGCUCGGCAUGGGAUGAGGAAGUGGCGUGGAAUGGGCAACGGUAUGGGCUGCUUGCCAAAAAUAAGGAGCUUGAGUUUGAUUUCUCAGCUGCCGUAGAUGAGGCAGUCAAGGGUGGAGCUGCCAAGAUCGAAGCUGUUGAAGAUGAAGUGUCAGAUGAGCGAACUGUUAAGUGCAAAAGUGACUGUUGCCCUAUAACCAUUUGCUGCCUAGUUGAUCUUUAAACAUUCGAUCUUUUGAGCUAUGUGGCAUUCUCACACUGGAAAGCUUACCUAGAUGGGUGUUGGGGAAUUAGUUUACCCUCUCACACUGGAGAGCAAUUAGUUUACCCUCUCGCACUAAAGAGCAAUUAGUUUACCCUCUCGCACUAGAGAGCAAUUAGUUUAUCCUCUCGCAUCGGAGAGCAAACCCAUAUAGGUGUCGGGGAAUUAGUUCUCGCACUGGAGAACAAUUAGUUUAUCCUCUCGCACUGGAUAGCAAACCUAUAUGGGUGUCGGGGAAUUGGUUUACCAUCUCGCACUGGAAAACAAUUAGUUAUCCUUUCGCACUGGAGAGCAAACCUAUAUGGGUGUCGGGAAAUUUAUUUACUUUCUCGCACUGGAGAACAAUUAGUUUAUCCUAUCGCACUGGAUAGCAAACCCAUAUGGGUGUCGAGGGAAUUGGUUUACCCUUUCGCACUGGAAAGCAAUUAGUUUAUCAUCUCGCACUGGAUAGCAGACCUAUAUGGGUGUUGGGGAAUUGGUUUACCCUCUCGCACUGGAGAGCAAUUAGUUUAUCAUCUCGCACUGGAGAGCAGACCAAUAAAUGGUUUUGAGCAGCUGUUGUGGACAGCAGUUGAGGAAAACGGACAACUGAAAUAAUCAUCAGCCUGCGAGGUCUUGUUUGGGGAACUGCUUGAGACUUCGAACUGCUUGUGGAACCCACGUAAGGGUGUAAGUACAGCGAGCUGCUUCCAGAAUUAUUGUGCCAUCAUUAGGUGUUUCAUUGUGUGUGUUUUUGAGACUUGGUUGACACAAGCAACAUGGCAAAAUCAGCACGGGUGGG